rnacentral:snoRNA from 1 species
CUGCAGUGAUGAAUUUAGACGUGACUGACCUGGCAUUGCUGGUCUCCGGGUCAGCUCUGGUCAGGAAAUGACUUCAGUUAAUCUUCUCUCUGAGCAG